ACUAGAUCUUGUUCAAACCAAUUUUCGGUGGAAGUUUGCAUGGUAAUGUACAUCAUAUAUUUUUUUUAGUUUUAUCAUUCUCUUAUUUUAGAAGUUACAGGGGGGGGGGAGACACAUUUUACCACUUUGGAAGUGUCUCUCGCGCAAACUAUUCAGUUUAGAAAAAAAUGAUAAACCUCAAUAUCAUUUUUGAAGACCUAUCCAUAGAUACCCCACACGUAUGGGUCUGAUGAAAAAAAAAUUU